UUUGGAAUGAGCUUAGAAAAAUAAAAAGCAGGUUUUGCUAUGUAUAGGCAGCUGCCGCUAGGACGGCGGCAGCAGUGGUCACUUGAAACACGACGUUGAAUGUGCCACGGUGACUAUACAUACAAAACCUGCUUUUGUUAUUUUUCUUAGUGAAUGUAAUA
rfam:Pseudobutyrivibrio xylanivorans DSM 14809 genome assembly, contig: EJ90DRAFT_scaffold00001.1